GUCUUUGCAAACAUGAACUAUGGUGCCUAAAUCAAACCACCAUAUAGAAGACGUUUCUGCCAUAUUGAUUUCAGUAAUCAUGACCACUAGAUUGUCUUCCACCAUGUUUACAGACUUGGUUCCACCUUUCUGACGUCGACAUAAUUGAACAUAGUGCCCAUUCUUUCCACAAACAUAAUAUGAUAAAUGCCGCUAGAAAUAUUGAUAUGUAGUCGUCCCUCUCUUGUUCAGUCGUCUCUCACUCUCUCUCUCUCAUUUGUCUCUCUCUCGCUCUCUCUCUUGCUCUAUCAAGGGAGUGUUUUAUCUUUGUCAAAAGAGUGUUCUUAGGUAAAGACCAUGCUUCUCCGGGCCUUCUUCUCGGAUUAGAAGCUUUCUCUAGAGUUUUGAGGUUUUACCUUGAGAUCUGCGGAAUUGGUCGUGAAGAAGUACUAAAGGUUGGACAAGGCUCCACCUUGAGAUUCUCAUUAUAAGAAAGCAGUUAUUUUUGGCCCCACAAACAAGUUCUUCCAUCCUACAGCAACUCCCCAAGUUACGCCAGCAACCUCAGCUCCGUCACCAUUAGUUCCUCUACCAGGCAGCUACCCCUGCUUCUACUACUGUCCCUGGAUCCAUUUUGCGAUCAAAUUCUGAUUGCCUUAAUCAGAUUCCACUUAGAACCUGAACAAACAAAGAUUUCAAGGUCGUAGAUAUUGAAUGCUUGGCACCUCUGAGAUGGAUCCAGAUGGUGGACCUGAUUCCGCACAGCAACAUCUUGAUGAGUUUAAUUUCAGUGAAGUAUUUGUGCAUCAAAUGAUACAUUCAAUUGAAUUUGUCCUUGGAGCAGUGUCAAAUACUGCCUCUUAUCUUCGUCUCUGGGCUCUGAGUUUGGCCCAUUCAGAGCUGUCAACUGUAUUCUAUGAGAAAGUCCUUCUAGCCUGGGGGUUGGGUACACAACAACACGUACAUGAGACUCCCUGCAGUUGAGGAAUAGGGAAUGUUCUUCAUGUUUUCUAAUUCCUUGGGAGUCUUGGAUGACAUACACUUGGAUAGAAUGGCCCCAUGACAAAAAGGCUUCUUUCUUUUUGUUCUUCAUUACAGAGGAUGAGCUUUUCCCUACGAGGAGCUGUAGAAGGGUUUAGAGUCGGAGGUUCAUAUAGAAGAUUUAGUGCUACAGUAGCGUCAGAAGAAGCUAUUUUCAAAUGUCAGGACGAAGAUGGACAGGUUGAACCAAAGGUUCUGGUUAUGGAAGACAAGAUUGCAAAUAUCUAACGUGAAUUUGAGGCAACAAAACAAAGCUUCCUCAAGAUUCCAAAAGCUCUUAGAGAAAUGCCCAAAACUCUUUGCUCUUUUUCUCUCUCACUUGCUCUAUCUCCCUCCUUUCUCCCCUAAGUUUCGUUCUCCUUCCUCGCUCUUGCUUUCUCUCUAUUGAUCUCCGUUUCUCAAAUGUGGAUGAUUGGUAAUGCUUCUAGAAAGGUAGAAAACAACUCAAUGCAACUUCAACAACAAUGGUGGAUGUUAUCCAAAAUUGGUAUUGAAAUUGGAUCGAGAAAUGAGAAAUGAAUAGUAAUUUUACUCAA